GACGAACGCUGGCGGCGUGCUUAACACAUGCAAGUCGAACGGAAGGCCCUGCUUUUGUGGGGUGCUCGAGUGGUGAACGGGUGAGUAACACGUGAGUAACCUGCCCUUGACUUUGGGAUAACUUCAGGAAACUGGGGCUAAUACCGGAUAGGAGCUCCUGCUGCAUGGUGGGGGUUGGAAAGUUUCGGCGGUUGGGGAUGGACUCGCGGCUUAUCAGCUUGUUGGUGGGGUAGUGGCUUACCAAGGCUUUGACGGGUAGCCGGCCUGAGAGGGUGACCGGCCACAUUGGGACUGAGAUACGGCCCAGACUCCUACGGGAGGCAGCAGUGGGGAAUAUUGCACAAUGGGCGGAAGCCUGAUGCAGCAACGCCGCGUGCGGGAUGACGGCCUUCGGGUUGUAAACCGCUUUCGCCUGUGACGAAGCGUGAGUGACGGUAAUGGGUAAAGAAGCACCGGCUAACUACGUG
rnacentral:rRNA from 1 species